rnacentral:rRNA from 1 species
CUACAAAUGAAUUGACGGGGCCCGCACAAGCGGUGGAGCAUGUGGUUUAAUUCGAAGCAACGCGAAGAACCUUACCAGGUCUUGACAUCCCGAUGCUAUUUCUAGAGAUAGAAAGUUACUUCGGUACAUCGGUGACAGGUGGUGCACGGUUGUCGUCAGCUCGUGUCGUGAGAUGUUGGGUUAAGUCCCGCAACGGGCGCAACCCCUAUUGUUAGUUGCCAUCAUUCAGUUGGGCACUCUAGCGAGACUGCCGGUAAUAAACCGGAGGAAGGUGGGGAUGACGUCAAAUCAUCAUGCCCCUUAUGACCUGGGCUACACACGUGCUACAAUGGUUGGUACAACGAGUUGCGAGUCGGUGACGGCGAGCUAAUCUCUUAAAGCCAAUCUCAGUUCGGAUUGUAGGCUGCAACUCGCCUACAUGAAGUCGGAAUCGCUAGUAAUCGCGGAUCAGCACGCCGCGGUGAAUACGUUCCCGGGCCUU